rnacentral:rRNA from 1 species
UGGGGUAUUUUCCGCAAUGGGCGCAAGCCUGACGGAGCAACGCCGCGUGAGGGAGGAAUGUCUGUGGAUUGUAAACCUCUUUUCUCUGGGAAGAAGAUCUGACGGUACCAGAGGAAUCAGCAUCGGCUAACUCCGUGCCAGCAGCCGCGGUAAUACGGGGGAUGCAAGCGUUAUCCGGAAUUACUGGGCGUAAAGCGUCUGUAGGUGGCUUGGUUAGUCUAUUGUUAAAUAUUAGGGCUUAACCCUGAGACAGCAUUAGAAACUUCUAAGCUAGAGUAUGGUAUGGGCAAAGGGAAUUCCCAGUGUAGCGGUGAAAUGCGUAGAUAUUGGGAAGAACACCAGUAGCGAAAGCGCUUUGCUUGGCCUCAGCUGACACUGAGAGACGAAAGCUAAGGUAGCGAAUGGGAUUAGAUACCCGUGUAGUCC